rnacentral:rRNA from 1 species
UAACACGUAGGUAAUCUACCUUCGGGUGGGGAAUAACAAUCGGAAACGGUUGCUAAUACCGCAUAAUGCAGCGGCACCUAAUGGUGACAGUUGUUAACGCGGGGGAUCGAAAGACCUCGCGCCUGAAGAGGAGCCUGCGGCGGAUUAGCUAGUUGGUAGGGUAACGGCCUACCAAGGCGACGAUCCGUAGCCGGCCUGAGAGGGCGGUCGGCCACACUGACACUGACAUACGGGUCAG